CGGUUGAUCCUGCCGGACCCGACUGCUAUUUGGGUGAGGCUAAACCAUGCGAGUUGUAUGGGAUACCUAAAUUUCCCAUAGCAAACUGCUUAGUAACACAUGAUCAACUUACCCUAUGGAGAAAUAUAACCUCGGGAAACUGAGGAUAAUUUUUCAUAGUUGAAUAGGCUUGGAAAAGUUUUUCAAUGAAAGGGAUAAGAAAAAUGGUUCUUAUCUGCCAUAGGAUAGGAUCGUGGUCGAUUAUGGUUGUUGGUGAGGUAACGGCUCACCAAGCCGAUAAUCGAUAGGGGCCGUGAGAGCGGGAGCCCCAAGAUGGGUACUGAGACAGCGACCCAGGCCUUACGAGGCGCAGCAGGUACGAAACCUCCGCAAUACACGAAAGUGUGACGGGGUUACCCAAAGUGUUCAUUAUUGAACUGUGGCAGGUGAGUAAUGUCCCCUGCUAGAAAGGAGAGGGCAAGGCUGGUGCCAGCCGCCGCGGUAAAACCAGCUCUUCAAGUGGUCGGGAUAAUUAUUGGGCUUAAAGUGUCCGUAGCCGGUUUAGUAAGUUCCUGGUAAAAUCGGGUAGCUUAACUAUCUGUAUGCUAGGAAUACUGCUAUACUAGAGGGCGGGAGAGGUCUGAGGUACUACAGGGGUAGGGGUGAAAUCUUAUAAUCCUUGUAGGACCACCAGUGGCGAAAGCGUCAGACUGGAACGCGCCUGACGGUGAGGGACGAAAGCCAGGGGAGCGAACCGGAUUAGAUACCCGGGUAGUCCUGGCCGUAAACGAUGCAUACUAGGUGAUGGUACGGCCAUGAGCCGUGUCAGUGCCGUAGGGAAACCGUUAAGUGUGCCGCCCGGGAGUACGGUCGCAGGCUAAAACUUAAAGGAAUUGGCGGGGGAGCAC
rnacentral:rRNA from 1 species